ensembl:lncRNA AABR07039307.1
UUAAACGUCAUACUUUAUUGAGUUUCUGGCUUUGCCUUUCUUCCAGCAUCACUCCCCGGGAGAUCCAAGUUCCUCUAGUUGUUUUCUUUGUGUAGUUUCUAGCUCUUCCAGUCUUUUGCGAAGGAGAGAGAGUUCUCUUUGAUGCUGUUCUUCCUGCAGAUGAGGGGGAAAGGAGAGUUCCACUCCAGGAACUAUAGCUGAGGACUGGAAGUUAGCAGGAUUGACCGAUGCUGCGGGAGGCAUGUUAGGAACCAAGAUUAGACUUCGAAAUUCAUUAUGUCUUCUCUGUAUGUCCUUUAGUCGUUUCUGAAGCCUUGUAUAUUCUUCAAAUGGAACAUUUUGUCUAUUUAACACCUGGUUUUCUGUCUCUAAUUCUUCUUUCUUUGCCUCCAAGACUUCCACUUUCUCCUGCAGUCUCUUCAAUUUAUUCUCAUGAAGAGAUUUUCUCUUUUUCUGAGCAGUUGCUGCCCGCUGCAGUUUCUCUUUUGCUUGAUUGUACUUUUCCUCUCUGUCUGUGAUACGCUCAUGAAGCUUAUGCUUUUCUUCCAACCACUGUAUCUGCUUUUCCUCCAGUGUCUUUUCAACUUCUAGUUGCACUUUUUCAGCUUGGCUUCUUAAAUGUCGGCACUCUUGCUUUAACCUCUCCACCAUGUCCUUCAGCAUUUGGUUUGAAUUCAGCAAGUCAUUCUCUGACUGCGUCAGUGAGGUCACUUGGAUCUGUAAAUGACUGAUUUGCUGUUUCAGUUCAGAAUUUUCAAGUUUUUCUUUCUCUGCUUUUUCGGUAUUCACAAUUUGUUGUUGAAGUUUUAACCUAAUGCUCUGCAGUUCCCUCCGGGCUGCCUCCUCUGCCGCCUGGGAGGCCCGCAGCUUCUCUUCACACUGAUCCUUUUCCGACUGCCUCCAGACAUCAUGCUCCACUUUCAUUUUCUCUAAGUCUGAUAAUCUGUUCUCAAGUUCUAGCUUUUCAUCUUGCAAGACCACAAGUUUCUGGUAACCUUCUUCCUUGGCAGCUUGUACUUUACGUAUUAAUUCACGAUCUUUUUCCACCAAGAGCACUUUGUGGUGUUCAACAGUCGACUUGAGAAUUUCAUUGUCUGACUGCAGUCCAUCGAGUUCACUUUGGAUCUUAUUCCUCUCUCGCUCUAGCUCACUCUUCGCUCUUGCAGCCUCCAGUUUGACGUCAGUUAUUUCGAGCUUGUUUGCAUGUUUAAGCUCUUUCACCUGACUAGUCAGCGUGCUUAUUUCUCGGUCAGCCUUAUGCAAUUUACUAAUUAAACAGGUGUUUUGUUCGUUGCUUGAUUGUAGCUCUUUUUCUAGGCGUUCAGCCUGUAGUUUAGCUGACUGCUUUUCAGCCUCCAAGGAUCUGAGAGUGGCCUGCAUCUCAGCCAACUGCCUCACUUGUAUUCUUUGGACAUUUUCUACCUGAGCACCAGAAUUCUCUUUCUCAGCCCUUAAUUCUGCUACUUCAGCCUCUAAACUUUUCAAUUUCUGAAGCAAAUGGGUUUUUUCUCGAACAAGUUGCUCCACUCGUUUGCUAUCUCUUGUGGGAUCAACACUAAGCAGCUGGUUAUGUAGUUCCUCUUUAUCCUUCUCCAGUCGUGCAACCUCUGACUUGUAUUUCAUUUUUUCUUCUUCUGCAAUACGAGUAAGCUCUUCCUUCUGGUGUUCAAACUCUGACUUGAGGAAUGUGUGCUCGUAGCGGAGCUUGUUGUACUCAGCUCUGUACCUUUCCACUUCUUCAUCAAGAGUCCGAAAACGUUCUCGCAUUGGAGCUUCUAAUUCUUGUUGUAGUUGGGCUUUUACCAAUUCCAAUUUUUGUGGUGUUAAUAUCUGCAGUUUCAUUGCUUCCAUGUCCUUAACUUUCUCUACUAAUUCCCCCCUUAACUCUUCAAGGAGCAGUUGGAAUUUUUCCUGGUUUGUUUGUUUUUCAUUUAACACACGCUUAAGUUCAUUUUGUGAUUUUACAUAUUUUUCCUGCAACCUUUUGUGUUCAAUUUUCAGAGCCUGAUAAUUAUGUUUAUGAUGUUCACAUCGUACCCUUUCAUCUAUUAACAUACUUUGGAACUCAGGUUCAGGAUUCAGCCUACUGUCUCCUCCGGGUGGAAAUAUGCUAGGAAAUGUGUCCAUAUUUGUAAGGUGGCUGACAUGUAAGGACUAAGCUGUGGCGUUUGUAUUGUGUUAGUUCCUUCCAGGAAGUAUUUCCAACUUCUUUCCUGCUAAGGUAGAAUCCCAGGGGACCAAAUCAUGCCAAAUUUACACACGGUCCUAGCAGCGUGCCCUAGCACAGCAGCCGCGCUCGCCCCCCUGGGUCCCCGGCACAGCUCCGACCACCGCCACCCACACCGCUCUGCUCGCUCAGGCAUUGGGGCCGAGGGGUCCAGACGGUCCCACCGGCUGGGGUGUCGGCCCAGCCCGCCACGUCUGGAGCGGUCCAGGCGGCCGCUCCCGCCGCGGGGGUGGAGACAAGCCAACGAGCCGGGCUGUACCCGAGGGCACCCACUCCUAGG